rnacentral:miRNA from 1 species
UGUGUGUGUGUGUGUGUAUGUAUAUAUGUGUAUGUAUAUAUGUAUAUAUGUAUAUACAGACACAUACACACACACGUAUAUACAGACACAUACACACAUA